rnacentral:snoRNA from 1 species
GGUCAAUGAUGUCCUAAACUACGAUUUAAUUCGAAUUACUGUGAGAUAAAAUCAUAUAUGCAACUGAGACA